AACGAACGCUGGCGGCGUGCUCAACACAUGCAAGUCGAACGGUAAGGCCCUUCGGGGUACACGAGUGGCGAACGGGUGAGUAACACGUGGGUGAUCUGCCCUGCACUUCGGGAUAAGCCUGGGAAACUGGGUCUAAUACCGGAUAGGACUCCGGACUGCAUGGUCUGGGGUGGAAAGCUUUUGCGGUGUGGGAUGGGCCCGCGGCCUAUCGGCUUGUUGGUGGGGUGAUGGCCUACCAAGGCGACGACGGGUAGCCGGCCUGAGAGGGUGACCGGCCACACUGGGACUGAGAUACGGCCCAGACUCCUACGGGAGGCAGCAGUGGGGAAUAUUGCACAAUGGGCGCAAGCCUGAUGCAGCGACGCCGCGUGAGGGAUGACGGCCUUCGGGUUGUAAACCUCUUUCAGCAUCGACGAAGCGAAAGUGACGGUAGGUGCAGAAGAAGGACCGGCCAACUACGUGCCAGCAGCCGCGGUAA
rnacentral:rRNA from 1 species